AUGUUCUGGUGUGAUAGUCAAUCUCGACUUGACUACGAGGCUUUCAGAGACAUUAUUGUUUUUGAUAGCACAUACAGAACCAAUAAGUACAAUCUGCCAUUUGUGCCGUUUGUCGGGUUGAAUCACCACCAGAGCACUGUUAUUUUUGCAUGUGGUAUCAUUUUACAUGAAACAAGCCAUGCAUAGGAGUGGAUGUUACGGACCUUUUCUGAUGCUAUGGGACAGAAGCAUCCUAUAUGUGUGAUCACGGAUGGGGACCUUGCAUUGCAGAGAGCAGCCAGGGUGGUGUGGCCUGACUCAAACCAUAGGCUCUAUAUAUGGCACAUUCAGCAGAACAUUGUACGUCAUCUGCAUGAUGGCGCGGUAAACGAGGAAUUCAGAUUUUUCAUAUAUGAUACAUCUUCCAUUGAAGAGCAUGAGAGAAAAUGGUUACAAUUCUUACAACGGAAUAAAGUAACAAGUGAGGACUCCUGGUUGCAUCAGAUGUAUAAGAUGAGAAAAUUGUGGUGUGCUCCAUAUCUUGAGGGUCGUUGUUUCUCAGGAUUGAGCAGCAAUCAGCAGAGUGAUAGUUUAAACUCGGUGCUACAUACACAUCUUGCGGCUAAGAUGAUGUUGUUUCAAAUGCUAGAGCACCGUGAGUGUUGCCUUGCGUCGUGACGCUUGAACGCUCUCCAAGACAUCGAAGCCUUGCAGUCUGUUUUGUUCAUAGAGGAAAAUGCUUCAAGUCUUGAGAAACAUGCCGCAAAAGUUUUCACUCCUGUUGUGUUUAAGUUGGUCCUAUGGAGCAUAAAUGUUGUAAGAAAAUGUGAGAUCGGAGAGGUACUUGAUGCAGCAGAAGUUACCACAUACGUUGUGUCUGAGAAGGAAAGAAUGGACAAAAAGAUCGAAGUGCGCACAGAGCAGAAGGAAGGUCUGCUUCGCAGUAUUAGUUGUUCUUGCCGCAAAUUGGAAUACGCAGGCACACCAUGUUCCCACAUAUUUUACAUAUUAGGAAAUUUACAAGAAGAAACACUGUCCAGGUGUGGUGUUCCCAUUAGGUGGAUAAUGAGUGCAAAAUGUGCAUUCGCACCAACCAGGAAGGGCGAGAUGUAUGAAUACUCUGCAACCCUACAAAGGAACCAUAAGUUAAGGAAUUUUAGUCACGCGACAUGUUUCAAGGCAUGCCACUUUGAUGAAGUGUUUCAGCAUCUAAAAAUGGUUUUGGAAGGACAAGAUGUUUGCAAGGGAUCAACAAGUGAACAAGCUGAUAGUAAGGGAUCAACUAAUGCUCAUGGUAACAGCAUUAGGUUUGGCCCGUUGAUGCCACAAUCGGCUAACUUUGAUGGUGAAGGUUUCGAUAAGGUUCUGCAUCCCGUGCAUGUGCCAGGCCGAGGUACUCUGAAGAAAAGGUUAUAG
rnacentral:rRNA from 1 species